UACGUAGGAUCCAAGCGUUAUCCGGAAUUACUGGGCGUAAAGCGUACGUAGGUGGCGAUUUAAGUGAGAUGCGAAAUCUGGCGGCUCAACCGUCUAGGCUGUGUCUCAUACUGGGUUUCUUGAGGUUGGCAGAGGCAAGUGGAAUUUCCGGUGUAGCAGUGAAAUGCGUAGAGAUCGGAAGGAACACCAAUGGCGAAGGCAGCUUGCUGGGCCACACCUGACACUGAGGUACGAAAGCGUGGGGAGCGAACAGG
rnacentral:rRNA from 1 species